rnacentral:rRNA from 1 species
CCCUUAGAUGUUCUGGGCUGCACGCGCGCUACACUGAUGCACUCAACGAGUUUACGACCUUGCCCGAUAGGGUUGGGUAAUCUUUUUAAAAUGCAUCGUGAUGGGGAUAGAUUAUUGCAAUUAUUAAUCUUCAACGAGGAAUUCCUAGUAAGCGCGAGUCAUCAGCUCGUGCUGAUUACGUCCCUGCCCUUUGUACACACCGCCCGUCGCUCCUACCGAUUGAGUGCUCAGGUGAAUAAUUCGGACUGCAGCAAUGUUUGGAUCCCGAACGUUGCAGCGGAAAGUUUAUUGAACCUUAUCACUUAGAGGAAGGAGAAGUCGUAACA